AGGUCUUAGAAGACUCAGAGGUCCUGGGAACAUCAUCUGCAACCUCACUGAAGAAUGUGUGGGUUCACCAUGAAGAAUCCAGAGGAACAGAUUAGAGUGACCGGACCCUAGAGAUCAAGGAGGGAUUUAGGCAUCAGGCAGUGACAACUAUGUGAAGAUGUGUCAACCUUCUGUGGCCUAGUCUAAAGAAAAGACAAAUGCAGGCAAUAUCAACAGUGGCUGCUACGAGCAUAGGAGGAACAACCAGACAUGAUGUGCUCCUCAUGGAAUGAAGUCUUCUUGAAAAGAGUUCUGACCUGAAUCUGAUCAAGCUUCCACAUAUGAAUACCCAUUGUUGGGCACAGAUGAUUUGGGGGAGUAUGGAGGCUGGAUGGUCCAAGGGUCAGUGAGUGGUCCAGUAAUAUCAGGAUGCCAGGUCAGUAUCUUUCCUUUUCCUCAACAGCUGCCAGAGGCUGUCUCCAUUUCAUGCAUCCUGUCAUUACAUAAUAACAUCCCAGGUGAGUUGGGAGAUACAAGCAGAAGACAGCAGCUUUUCCCCCACAAAUGCUUUAUUUCAAAUAAAACCUUUCCCAGAAGCCCUGAGGAGUGAGCCUGAUAAGGGUCCUUUACCUGGUGUUCAACACGUAUAUUAUCUGGAUACUGCAAGAACAAAACUCCAAAAAUGGAGAGCUCAGCAAGACAGCAGUUCCAGUGUCCACUCACCCCUUCGAAUUUCCCUUCCAAUUUACCUCCAUAGACACUGUCGUCUCAAUUUUGAACUUGGCUAUAGUUUUUUUACAUUUCUUUUUAUAUUUCAUCUGUCAUUACUAUGUGCUCAAGAUUGGAGGAAAGGAAGGGAGCUUCAACUUUGUGGUAUGUGCUAUCUUGACCCAAGACCCAUUCUUCUUUCUAUUUUGAAUUAUGGGAUAUGAGUCCUGUGUUGGGUAAAUGAUCAAACUCACACAAAUAACUUGGUUUGAAGGAUGUGGGCCAGAAGGAUAAAUACAGAGUUACCUUUUAUAAUCUCUAUGUGUGAGGCUUAAAAUGAGUGAAGCUCAAAUCAGCAAGACAUAAACACCCUCAACAAGAUACGUUCAACUUAAAAGGGCCCACUUGCCCACCUUUCAGCUUAUUAACACUUGAGGGCAGAGACUGUAGCUCAGAUAUACUUUCCAUAGGACUUGAAUUCCAAAAUCCACCUCUAAAGUGAUAAAUUUUUGUUACUUAGAUCUUGAAUUAGCUUCACUAUGGCAGUUGUGGUGAGGAUCAAUAUUUAGUCUUGGUUAAUUUAACUGGAGUAUGAUUUCGUACUUGGAAACAAUUGGGGUAGUAUAUGAAUCCCUUGUCCCAUGGAACCCUUUAGCCUGCCUCGUGGAAACUUGCUGUACACCCCACAAGGCAUGGAGUCAGAAGGGGGCUGGAGAGUAGAGGGACUCCGGGCCUUGUCUGCAUCUCUCCCACCAGAGGGCCUAGGUUACAGAUACCUUAGGACAGCAAGCUAAUAACACACUUCAUUUAACCCACACUUACUUGUCAGUUGCUGGCUUUUCUAGGCUGGCUAGACGAGCUUUGGAGGCAAGGAGGGGCUGUUUCUAAGACUUAUUUUCAGAACUCAUUUCCCCGUGUUUCUUUUAAAGAAAGUUCUGAACAGCUUAUUUACUAUUAGUUUUUCCAAGGGAAUUGGAAUUCAGUGUUUCAAAGGCCUUGUUUUCAGAAUUUUUUUCCCCCCCACUUUUUCCCUGCCAAAGACAAAAGUUAGCUCUAUGCAGUUUACCAAAGACCAGUCACCCUAACACCUUUGUACCAGCUCAUCCUUCUCCAUGGCCCCAAGGUCAAGGAACACAGCAGAGCUGUAGGCUGCUACAGGUGUAAGAUCAAGACAGUCCUCAAAAGCCUAGCCUACCAGGGAAUGAGUUGGGUCUUCCUCCUUCUCAGGGUUUCUGCCUAUGCAUUCCUGGGUCCAGGUGGAAUGGCCGAGACAGCAAGGUGCACAGAAUGUGUAGUUUAUCUACAGGGGGUGAAUGAAUCAGCGGGAGCAUUGCCAGAUCUUUUCCACUUAAGGAGUUCCGAAGCUUGCUCGUUGAGGAUAUGCUUUUUCCGUUUGUCGCGAGCAAAACCCCUGUGUCCCGCCAGGAGGUCGCAACGUGUAAAGAAGAGAUAGAGAGAUGGAUAUGAUGUAACUCAUUUGACCUUUAUUGGGACGAGGUCCGCACCACUAUCGUGGCCCGGUCACGGUCCGCUGACGUUGUCACGGAGAAGGAGACGUCGCCUCACAAUCUAGACAGAGAGGUCACCGCAGAAGUUGAGACUGAGAACCAGCGAGUGGUCGGCAACGAAACCGUCAGGACGUUGGUAGCACGGGCGAUGAUGUUCUCCUGACAGGGAACUCGCUUCACCUCAGUCCCACCCGAUGCCUCUUUAUAUACUGUGCUAAGUCUCCUUCACAAACAUAUUACAUCACUUGUUUUUCUUAUGCUUACACACCAGAAACAUACACACGUCGUAAACAUGUUUUAGUUUACGAUAUUUCGCACAAGUUAAGGUAUUUACAACUUGUUACUCCCCGCUAAUCUUAUCACUACACGCAUAUGGUCUAGACUUAUUUGCUAUGUGGUUAGUUUGUAUUUUGUUCCUUUUGCCUGUUUUUCAUUUAGUAGGGGUUUGCACCUACUACAUAUUAUUUAUUUAUUUAUUACACUUUAUUUAUUAAAGGUUCGUACUCACUACACCGUUCUAACCUGAGAUUAUUCUCUAGGAUUGUGGUGUAUCUCUUAAACAACAGUAAAGAAAAUUUACUACUUGAAGCUAGACAAUCAGGCUAACAGGCUCAACCAAGGGGCGCGAGGGUGGCUCAAUCAGUUAAGCAUCCGACUCUUGAUUUCAGCUCAGGUGAUGAACGUGGGCUCCAUGCUUAGUGGGGGAAUCUGCUUGGGAUUCUCUCUCUGCCCUCCCCACUCGUGCUCUUUCUCAAAUAAAUCUUAAAAAACAACAACAACAACAAAAAAAAAACAGGCUCAACCAAAGAUUAUUUGUUUAUGAGAUGUGACUGUGUUUGACCUUGUGUUUUACCAUUAAUUAGAGUUCAGACAUUGCAAAGUUACAUGCUGACUUGAGUUCUGCUUGAUAGAAAAAAAAAAAUUAUGGUUUUAUUGCUCUGUAGGACAGUAACUAGUUUCACAUCUGGCAUAGCACUUAUUUUAAAUAUGUUUUAUGUUUUGUUACUUUUUUCCCUGAAAAUCUUAUUCAAGUGUUCUUUUGUUCUAAAUGCCUUUUACUGAGCCCUCUGCAAGGCUGUUCCUCACACACUCUUGGAAGAAGCUCUCCCAGCUUACUGGCAUGUACCUGUAGUGAGCAGGCCUAGCUCCGUCAUUUUAAAGCCUCUUCUCCUUUAAGGUACUCUGACUUCCCAUGGGCCAAGGUAAAUCCCAUCAAACUCAAGGGCAAUGAACUUCUCCAAAGGAGGUGGGAAAAAAUGUUACCUAAACAAGUAUCUAACCUACUAUAACACUUAAUUUUUAUGUGUCAAAUAACUGGGCCAUGGGAUGCCCAGACAGCUGGUUAAAUUUCCGGGGGUGCUUGUGAGGGUGUUUCUAGAAGAGAUUAGCAUUUGAAUUAGUAUCCUGAGUACAGCUGUUGGCCCUCCUCUGUGCAGAUGGGUCUCAUCUAAUCCCCUGAGGGCCUGAGGAGAACAAAAAGGCAGAGGGAGGAGAGAAUUCUUUCUCUACCUGAGUGCUGAGCUGAACUUCAAUGUUCUGUCCUUUGCCUUUAGAUUCAACUGGGGUUAACAUCAUCAGCUCUCUGGUUCACCGGCCUUUGAAACACACUACUGGCCUUCCUUAACAGGCAGCAGAUCAUGGAACUUCUCAGCCUCCGUAACUGCGUGAGCAGUAUCUUAUUACAUAUAUUGGCUCUGUUUCGCUGGAGAACCGUGACGAAUACACCUACCACAGUGAAUGAAUGGGAGAAUUUCAUUAGCAGAACCCAUUACAGGUUCUUAGAACAAAUAAAAGUGAUCGUGUGCUCUACAAAAUAUAAAAGCACGCAAACUGACUUCUCAGCAAAAGCAAAUUGCACCUCCGUAAAUGUGUAUCACAGACUUCGUGGAGCACGGUGGAGAGAGGCCUCUGCCCCCCUUCCUGUGGGCUCCUUACAGGCUUUGGGAGAAGAAAGUGUCUUUGUCAUCUGUGACUUGCCAUCGUCUCGCCCAGGGUCUCGCGCCAAGUAGGUGCUGUGGAACAUGUUUAUGCUGUCCUGCAAUCCCUGGAUGUGCGCCUUUGUACAAAAUGCUGGAGGAGUUGGCACAGUGGGUGAUUUCGGCGCAGUUGAUGACAGUCCAGAUACAUCUGAGAGGGAUGCAUUUUCUCAGGAGGCAAAACAGCAUGAAAACAGGUGAUGAGGGACCCUAAGGCUAGAUGCUGAGAGCCUUGUCAACCACCGGCUGCCUUCUGGGUGGGGUGACCCCACCACCCCGUCCCCCAGUUCUGUGCCCACCAUGAUGCUCAGCUGCUCCUCAUAUCAGCCCUUCCUUCUAGUCCCUGGGUGCAUGCUUGUCAUGCUGUCACCUGGGGCAGUGCCUCUGUGGAGUGCUUCCUGGUUCCUGUGAUACCGUGUGGGGGCAGCCCCCAGCAGGGCAGCCAAGGCAGGCUGCCAGAGCGCUCUGGCUGGGGACCAGUCCCUGCUGUGGCCAAGGACCUCUUCUUGGUUUUGGACUUUUCAUCUAAGCUCACAUGACCUCAGAAAGGACAAAAGGAAAGGGAGAGUGAAUGGGUGCAUGCAUGUGCAUGACCCUUUCCCUGUACAUUAAUUCUGCCUCAACAAGGACUUUCCUGUAAGAACGGAGACCUCUUGUGUGUGUUAUCUGACCAUCUUGCCUGUGUGAAGCCAUCUUGAAGAGUCAGGCAACAUUUUGGACCCCUGGAACAACUCUGCCUUCCCACUAAACCCAUGGCACUGGGGACAGGCCUCCUGAAUGGGGAAGUCCUCUGGUGAAAGGCAAAUCAGAGGGCUAAGGACCAAGAAGAAAGAGCAAAUUCCAAGAUCUGGACUCAAGCCUCCGUCUCCUGGGUGAAGUGCUGGUGGGCAAUCCGGACCCGGUACACGCCCAUGGCCACGACAAACACCAGCAUGCACACAGAAAUGAUGAUGACCACUGUGGCGAUGCUUGGGACCACUGGAACAAGGAAGGAAUC